UUACGGCCAUAUCACGAUGAAACACCAGUUACCAUACGAUCAGCGAAGUUAGGCAACGUCGAAGCUGGUCAGUACCUUGAUGGGUGACCGCUUGAGAAUACCAGAUGCUGUAAG